rnacentral:rRNA from 1 species
CCUACGGGGGGCAGCAGUCGAGAAUCAUUCACAAUGGGGGAAACCCUGAUGGUGCGACGCCGCGUGGGGGAAUGAAGGUCUUCGGAUUGUAAACCCCUGUCAUGUGGGAGCAAAUUAAAAAGAUAGUACCACAAGAGGAAGAGACGGCUAACUCUGUGCCAGCAGCCGCGGUAAUACAGAGGUCUCAAGCGUUGUUCGGAAUCACUGGGCGUAAGGCGUGCGGAGGCUGUUUCGUAAGUCGUGUGUGAAAGGCGCGGGCUCAACCCGCGGACGGCACAUGAUACUGCGAGACUAGAGUAAUGGAGGGGGAACCGGAAUUCUCGGUGUAGCAGUGAAAUGCGUAGAUAUCGAGAGGAACACUCGUGGCGAAGGCGGGUUCCUGGACAUUAACUGACGCUGAGGCACGAAGGCCAGGGGAGCGAAAGGGAUUAGAUACCCCGGUAGUC